GACGAACGCUGGCGGCGUGCUUAACACAUGCAAGUCGAACGGAAAGGCCCUGCUUUUGUGGGGUGCUCGAGUGGCGAACGGGUGAGUAACACGUGAGUAACCUGCCCUUGACUUUGGGAUAACUUCAGGAAACUGGGGCUAAUACCGGAUAGGAGCUCCUGCUGCAUGGUGGGGGUUGGAAAGUUUCGGCGGUUGGGGAUGGACUCGCGGCUUAUCAGCUUGUUGGUGGGGUAGUGGCUUACCAAGGCUUUGACGGGUAGCCGGCCUGGGAGGGUGACCGGCCACAUUGGGACUGAGAUACGGACCAGACUCCAACGGGAGGCAGCAGUGGGGAAUAUUGCACAAUGGGCGGAAGCCUGAUGCAGCAACGCCGCGUGCGUGAUGACGGCCUUCGGGUUGUAAACCGCUUUCGCCUGUGACGAAGCGUGAGUGACGGUAAUGGGUAAAGAAGCACCGGCUAACUACGUG
rnacentral:rRNA from 1 species